UCCCUGAUAGCUCAGAUGGUAAAGCGUCUGCCUACAAUGCAGGAGACCCAGGUUUGAUCCCUGGGUCAGGGAG
rnacentral:tRNA from 1 species